GCCACCAAAUAAACAGCCAGUGAAGGCAAGCAAGCAAAGAAGAACUGUACCAGAUGAAAAUCAAGCCCGAAUUUCUUCUUCUUCGGCGGGUCCGUAAAUAGCAUCUUGGCAGCAGUCAUGAAGUCAAGGUUCUCCAAUUGCUUAUAGGCAUCCUGGCGACUUAGAGCAACAGAGUUAUCAACUUCCUUAGUACUAUUACGAUUGACCUUGCCGUUGUUGUUGGAGAUUGUGAUUGACUUGUUGUUAUCGUUAAGUGUUCUUCUCUGGAGGAGCGUCGAUCGCCUAGAAAGACGGACCAAAAUUCUUCGACCGCUAAACAUCACACUCAACCUUUG
rnacentral:misc_RNA from 1 species